UUAUAGGUUUCAUAACGAGUGAGAAUUAGAUAUCGAUUGAUAUCAACUCGAGUUAUUUGAUUUCAAUAAUAAUAAACGAGCCUAUGGCGAGUUUAUUAUUAUUGAAAUUAAAUAACGAGAGUUGAUAUCAAGCGAUAUCUAAUUCUCACAAGUUGUUAAACCUAUUUCUCUUAUGGCAAAAAGUUGUAUGUGCGUGGCCUAUUUGUUGUGAGUUGUGUUGCUACGGCCGUUUUUCUUUGCAACGCGUACUGAUCUGUAUACUUUUUGAACUAAUAUGGUUUUAUUUUAUUGUGUUGUAUGUUCUUGUGUGAACAGAAUACUGUUCCAUUGACUCCCAAAUAUAUCUUUUUUUUAUAUUUUUAUAGGUUUCAUAACGAGUGCACGGGUUCCUUUCUUUAUUUCUUCGUCCACGAUAAGAUUUAUAUUAGAUAAUGCAGACGAUAAAGCAGACGAAAAUCGCGAAAACCGGAAGUAAACAAUCAGUUGUCAAGAAAAAAAGUAGUCCCGGCAUGACCUUUUCCAGUGAAUAAUGACCUGAUCAACGGCCAAUGAAAAUAUUGGAAAUUUACGAAAUAAGCCAAUCAAAUUAACGUAAUUUUGAUAUCACUUUUUCAUAUCACACUCCGUACGGUGUGAUACGAAAAAUAUCUAUUCACGUGGGAGUUAGAUAACAGACCCCAACCAUAAGAGAAUAUUACU
rnacentral:lncRNA from 1 species